AUUGUUAAAAUGGUACAUUUUAUACAUAUUUUUACCACAAUGAAAAAGUAAAGGCUGCAAUUUUAAAACACUUGCUAGUCCUCUCCUAAUCAAAAGCAGUCUUUUCUUUUGCAAUAAUAUUAGUGUACAAUCUAAAAGAAGCAGCAAGCUGAACUGCUCAUUUUCCAUCCCUGGUAAGAGCAGUAUUUACUGCACAUCCACUCAUCAUGUUGUAUGGGCCAUCUGGGUUUUUUGUAUGUCUUACUGAGGUGCAUGUUUGUUAAAUGCACAGGCAUAACCAGAAAUAACUUUCCUGGAAAAUUGAGCAUAAUGGCUGUCCCUCUCUUGACAUUUUGGAGAAAUGAUAAUACGUAGGUGGGGGAAACAAAGAAGUGACUGUAAACAAGAACGGACAUUAUCUCUGCUUCUGAAUGAGAUGAGAAACCCACUUGCUUCAUUAGCUCUCUGGUAUAUCUGCAAGUCUGGAAACACCGGGAUGACUCACAGUUUGCUGAGUAAUACAGGAGCCGACAGAAUGCUGCUAGUGACUCGCCAUCUCUGACUGGCUUUCUGUGCAAACUGUCACUCUAGAGCAAGUGCUAGGCCUUGGAAUAGAGUUCUGAAAAAGGUUACGGUUCUCAACUACAGGGAGAACCAGCUCCUAAGGCCUUGACACUGGUACACAAAGUAGGACACCUCUGACCAAUGCCAAAAUGACUUUUAGAAAGUUCACACCUGGUCAUUGUGUCCCUGCUCAUGCUCCAGCUCACAAGAUCUCUGGUUUCUGCCUUUCAGGGUGUGGUGAUGUCCACUUCUUCAUCAGAGUUCUUUGUGACUUGUCUGCUUCUCCACUUGGUAGUAAACUCCUCAGGCAUAGGAAGACGUCUUCGCUAGCUCUGUAAUUUCUUUGCCCCUAUCUUGGCUGCUGGCCUCUGAACUCAUCACAGAGCACUGGAGUGAGGGCCUCUGGGUAAGUAAGGCUCUGCUAAACUGAUCAAAUGCUCCACGUACAUUUGUCCCAGUAGAGAGGAAAGCUCCUCUUUUCCAAACAAUCUACUUUAUUCCUGCUCCCCUACAUCCCACUUGCAAGGGUAGCAGCCACAUCCCCCAUCUGUCCUGCCCGAGCUCAUUGUCCAAGCCAACUCCAGCUCAGAAAUUUCCCCCAGAGAAGAGGUUCCUGAAGGCUAAGCAUUGCUCUGUAACCCUGAACUUGAUUUAUGUCUAUUUCUCACUCUCUCAUUAUAUAAAGUUUUUCAAAUAAUAUUAGACUAGGAAUUGAGAAAGAGAAUGAGCUCUCACAAUUGUUUCUAGAGCCAUCACAAUCCUACCCAGCAACACCUUUUACGGGCUUUUAAUUUUUUUGUUUACAGUUAUUACCUUUGAAACCAAAUCUUGACUUUCUGGUAUGCUCUUGGACUUUUUAAGGGAUUUAAAAAUUCAGGAGUUUGAUGCCAAUAAUUGCUUUUAUGAGCUAGCAUUGCUUCUUUUCUAUAGAUGAAUCCCAUUUUAAAUCAUCAAUUAUUUUCUUCACAGAAACCCACAAAGUACAUAUUCUAGUUUGCAUCAGAAUUGAAUAUGACCCAGAAAUUCUUAAUGUUAUUAAGCUAGACUAUUGUAUCUAAAAUGUGUAUCACAUUCAACUAAUGCAUAUUGAAGAUCUUGAGUACCACACUUGAGAUCUGAAUGAAGAGCCCAGGAUUGUGAUAUUUGAUCCAUACUGAAUGUAUUUGCUAGAGUGCAUUGUACAGAUGGUUCAGGUGUGUUAGAUUUGUCUCUGUAAAUGAAUUGGUCAGUAGAUAAAAGAACAUGACUCAAGGCUGAGCAGGGUUCAGCAGGCCCCAAGCUUCAUCAUUAAAAAUCGGGUGUUUUUUAAUAUGAGGCUGGCUGUGUAAAGCAGACCUCAUGAACUCAGGGGUCUGAGAGGCCAGGCCAGAUUAUCAGUUGGGAUGUUUUCAGUCCCAAUUAGCAGACAGCGCAGUUCACACUGGCUUAAACAAUAAAGGGGACUUACUGAUUCCUGAAAGUUAAAGUCCAGCGGUUGGGUGGACUUCAGGGUUGGUUUGAAUCAACAGUUCCUCAGUGUCAUCAAAGAUGCUGUUUCUUUCUGGCUGUCUACUCUGCCUUCAGUGGCAUGAGCCUCAUCCUAAGGCUGGCUCCCCCUUGUGGGCACAAGAUAGUGCCAGCAACUCCAGAGGCUACAAAUUUCCUCCUGCCCCAUUCAGAGAGCAGGAGAAUGGCUUCUAGAAUCUCUGUCAGAAGAGCCAGGAAGCUUCUUUCCCAGAAGCCCCCCCAGAUUUCAUGCUUUUUAGUCUGAAUGGAUCCAACGCCUACUAGCCUACUGUGCUGCUUCAUGUCAGCUGUGUCCCCCGCUAGAACCUUGUGUGGAGCCAGGUUCCUCCUAAGCACAGAGGUGGUAUGGGCCAAACGAAGCUGCCUAAAUGAAAAUGGGGAAAGGUGUCAAGAGAAGGAAGACUUAGUGCUGGCAACCAACAGUAUUUGUUGCAAUCAAUCUCUUGGCCAUCCUCAUUCAUACACACCUUCCUUCCCACGCAUACACCUCCCAAAAUGCCCACACUUAGGGAAAACCUAUUUACCCCUUUCCCAAAGGGAUCCAACUCCAAUCCGGAAACCCUAGGUGAUGUGUCAUCCUCUGAAUUUGGUCAGUAUAUAGCUCUUCAUGUUUCAGGGACCACUGGUCACCAUGCUCACCUUGGCAUAGAAAGUAAGAGUGCAAUAAAAAGAAAAAAAAAUUUCAAUUGGGAAAGAGGAAGUUGGAAAGCAGCACACGGUGGUCACUGAUCCAUCAUCCAUAUCACAUCCUGCUGGACAGCAGUAGCAAGGCUUGACCAGGGGUCAGACUCAGUUUCCUAUUCUGUAUAAUGAGAGGAUUGGAUUAAAUUAGUGGUUCUCACAUUGGAAUGUGGCCUGGAGAGCUUGUUAAAAUGCAGAUUACUGGGUUCCAUCCCCAGAGUUUCUGACUCCACAGAUACAGGUGGGGCCCUGGAAUUUGCAUUUGUAAUAGAUUUCCAGGGGCUGCUGCUGCUGCUGCUGCUGCUAGUACAAGGACACCCCUGCCCUUCCACUUUGAGAACCUCUGAUUUAGAUUAUCCUUAUGGGCCCUUCUGAUUCUGACAUUUAGGACUCAGGGAUUUUUCUUAGCUAUCUCUUCUGCUCUAUACUGACUUAUGAUGGAUUGUUUUAUAAAUGGGACACACCCAACUCUACUGUGUGAACAACUUAAAAACAUAUCAUGGAAUUCCUGCUUUGGUUUGUAAUCUAAUUUUCAACAAUUGAGGCUGAAAAUGAAGGACACCUUACAGCUUCAGGAAAGUAAAUUUUCUGGAAUUGAAGAAAUUAGAAACAGAAAGAUAAAGGCUUUCCCAUCCUCCCCAACCCCAUCUACUACAGCACAGCGGUCUGUGGGAUGAUUCCACGUGACUGCAGAAAGCAGCUCUUUUCCCAAGGACAUCCAACAUUUUGCAAGCAUUCUCCCUAUGUGACCCGGGUAUUCAUUGGGUCUUAGAAUAGGAGUAGCACUGGGUGAAGCUGUGACAUAGAUCAAGUUGGUUUAGGAAUUUUGCCAACUUUCUUCCCCAGGGCCCCUCACCUGGCCAACAUCUAUUCAUCCUCAGGUCACAGCUUAAACCUCAUGUCCUCCAAGGAGCCUCCUCUAACCAACGCCCCACCCCAGCCUAAGUCAGGUUCUCCUGUUCUUUGUUCUCUAGUGUCCUACAAUGUUCCUUUAUAGCACUUACCAGCCUUUGUUAAAAAUCCUCACUGACGUGCUCCACCAUCUGCCUUGUCCAUCAAUGUUUUCACAACACAGGUCCUGGAUCACUGUAAAUGCUCAGUAAAUGUGUGUUGCACAAGUGCUAUCAAAGGCAGACUGGGAGCAGAUUCCAGUCACAGUAUUUUAUUACAGUGGUGAACUAUCAAGCAAUCUAUAUAACACAUCCCACAGUGUAUGAUUAUGCAUGCUCCAAAGGAAUGAAACAUAAGUCUUCAGAAGACACAAACACACAGCUGGAGAGUCCCAGUGUCCCUGGCAUCUACAGCCAACUUUUUCAUGGCCCUCCCCCUUCUCUCUGGGAAGCUGGUGCCUUCCAGUGCCCAAGGUAUCUCUCUACCAGGCACCCUGGGCAUUGGCCCAGCUCCCUCUUCCCCCAUGCCCAUUUGGGUUGUUGAUUGACACUUAGGUGAAGACAAUAGAAGACCCUCCAGCUUACAGAGUGCCCAACUCAGCAGGGCCUGGAGAGCUAAUCUGGGUCAACACCACAUUUUUCCCCUGAGAAAGUGGGAGUCCAGCAAGGCUGUAAAAUGAUGAGCUCCAAAUAACAGCCUGAGUCUCCUGACUUCUGGCUGCAUCUUGAAUGCAUCUGCAGGCAGCUUCAAAUGUGAGAAUAAGAUAUGAACUUAUGACACUCUAUAGUUUAUCACCAUUGCUAUAAUUCUCUGCCACUAAAUAUAAUUUUACCAUUAAAUCAAACCAAACCAAACACUUAAAAUAAUUUCUUUAGAGAAGCCAGAUUAUUUAUUACAAAUAACGUCUACAAACUGACUAAAAGUAUAUCCCACAUAUAUUGAAUUUGAAGACUGUGCCUAAGUUUAAGGUAAUUGAUGGAUUCCAUUCUCAUUAGAUAUUCACACAUCAAAAAAGUUGUCUGCUUUCCCAGGCACAGUGGUAGGUUAUGCUUAUGCUCAUCGUUUUUCUUCCCAGAGCUGGCUCUUCCUUUGAAACAGACCCAUAUAAGCCACCCAUUUGCUGGGUCGCAAGCCCUUCAUGAGGGAGAGAGAAGUAUGGUGGGACACCAGCACCUUCUCUACAGAAACGAGCAGCAUGUUUGCUAAGGGCUGCUGGACUUUGGCAGGUAGAGACCAUCAGAGGACUCAACUGAAUCCCCUUUUAUCAGGAACCCUAGGAGAGUAGAGUUGUCAGGAGUUUCCCCAUGACUUACAUUGUCUUUUUUAAAACAACCAAUUCAUGACUGAGGUGAAGAAGGAAAAUAACAGAAAAAUAUAUCUAGCCCAAGAAAUCUACAGAAUAACAAUAAAACUCAGGCAGAAAUGAACCCACUGAUCUGUGAGCCAAGUGCUUAAGGGAGGGGUUGGGGCACUUCUCAUGUGGCUCACUGUCUUAGUCAGUUCAGGCUGCUAUGACAAAAUACCAUAGGCUGGGUGGCUUAGAGACAAUGGAAAUGCAUUAUGCAUAGUUCUGGAGGCUGGGAACUUCAAGAUCAAGACACUGGCAGAUUCAGUGUCUGGUGAGAGCUCUCUUCCUGAUUAGUAGAUGGUGCCUUCUUGCUGCAUUCUCAUGUGAUGGAAGAGUCAAGGUAGCUUCCUUGGGCUUCUUCUUAUAAGGGCACUAAUCUCAUUCAGGAGAGCUCCACCCCAUCAUCUAAUCACCUCCUCAAGGUCUUGCCUCCUAAUGACAUCAUAUUGUGGGUUAGGUUUCAACAUAUGAAUUUGGGGGGACACAAAUACUAGGUAGGUGCAAAAGUAAUUGCGGUUUUUACCAUUAAAAGUAAUGGCAAAAACCGCAAUUACUUUUGCACCAGCCUAAUAUUAUACCACAGCUCUCUCUGUGGUUGUUCACUGGGGCAGUGGGGGUGUGGCAGAGGGGUGAGGGAAAAAGGGUUCCCUCGAUGUUUGUGGUAGAAAGAAGAGCUAGGUAACCAAGUACUCCUUUUUGUCUGCUUAGGUCUGCCAAAAGUCAGGCACCCGUAUCGGGUUAGACAUUCAAGGAAUGUACUGGGGGAAAUGCCUGUGAAAGAUAAACAGGGAAGAGCAAGAGAAGGUGGGGAGAGACUCAGACCACAAUGCAGGUGGUCUGUGACAAUUGGGGCGAGAAAGAGGAUUGGGUAAGAAGAGUCUCAGACAGUAGCACAGUUCAGGAAAAGUUCAACCAGGCCAAUAGAGAGUCCUUGAGCCAAAGUCACCUACUGGAGGAGUCCUGCUCCUCACAGAAAUGGGCCUGCAUUACUAUGCUCACCAUGUUCAGUCAUUGGCCGGGAGUACAGCCCAGGCCAAGUGCAGCAAAAAUGAUGGAUCUAAGGGGGAGGCUGCUGGAGGCAAUUAUGUUUCCCAUGGCAGGAGAUGUCAGCAGCCACUGGUAUGGUCACCACAUCCUUCCAUUGGUAGUUGUGGGUGGGAAGGCAGAGUCCCUGGCAGGCAGUAGACAGCUACAGGAACAGAAACUGGUGGUAGAAUUAGACUGACUACUUUGGAUAACAAAGCCAAGGCUGGCUUGACUGGCUGAUAGCUAGACUAUUUCUUUGUUACUUUGUCACUCAGUGUUUAGAUUGUUGUUUUUCCCCCUUUCCAUUGUUUGUCAAAUUCCCCAUCUGAACCCAGGUCUGGAAAAAUAAAACCCUAUGCAUUUGGAAGAACUUUAAAAUGAAUUAGCUUUUAGGCUUUAGUUGCCAUCAUAAGCAUCUAGAGAUAUUCAGGCCUCGGAGUUGGGGCAGACUGGAGAAACUAAGGUUAUUUGAGAAAUAAGCACACUGAAUAUUUGGCUUCCUAAUUAUUCUACAAGGAGUCUAAGUUUUGCCUGCCUUGUGCCUAUGAAUCACUAUUUCUUAAUUUUCUUAGUUUCACAGAAUCAGAGGACAUGAAUACUGAAAGAUAUUGGAGGUUGUCUAGUUCGACUACAUCAUUGUAGGGAAACUGUGGCCAUAAAAGGGGAAGGUACACCAAUAUUCCUUAUGAAUCAAGACAUAAAAAUCUUCAACAAAAUACUAGCAAACUCAACCCAGCAACAUUUGUAUAAAGGAUUAUACACCAUGACCAAGUGAGAUUUAUCCCUGGAAUACAAGGCUGGUUCAGUCUAUGAAAAGCAAUCAAUGUAACACACUAUAUUAACAGAGUAAAGGACAAAAAAUGCAUGAUCAUCUCAAUAGAUGUAAAAAGGAAAGGGACUUUCUCAAGUUCACACGGCUAAUGGCAAAGCUGAGAUUAAAACUCAGGUCAUCUGACUUGUAGGCCAGAGUUCUUUAUACUGGUGAGGGUAGGGGUGGAGGGCUGAACCGGACCUUGCAAGACUGUCCACUGCACUGAAUCCUGUACUGAGGGAUUUCUGUUUGUUUUUUCAUCCUGUCCUCACAACACCCCCAAGCAGUGGGCUCCGUUGUUAUUCCCCCUCCUUUUGCAUGAGGAAACUGAGGCUUAGAGAGGUAACACUGGUUGUCUGAGGUCAUACAGCUGCCAAGUAUAUGAGGAGCUAAGCCUAGAUUUCAGGUCUCCUGCCUUGUCUCUGAUAUUUUCCAGUGCCCGCCACUGCUCUCCUCACUCAACAGUGCCACAGGAUUAACCUGGUUCCAUUGGUUCUCAGAUCACCUACUGCCAAGCACAGUGGAUGGGCUUUUUGUUGUAAGUGGAUGGGAGUGCCCUCCAAAUUCUCUGGAAGAAUAGCCUCCUCUCCUGUGCCAGUGUGUGACAAUUCUCAGAGCCCCAGCUGUUGACCUCACUGUAAUCUGGGCUAAGUGGCCAUUUAUAUACACUAAUGACUAGAAGGUCUUUUCAAGGAAUGGAGGACCACAAAGAAGCAGGCAGCUCUGGGGAAGCCAGAAGCUGAAUGGCUGGGAGGUGGGGCAGGGGCAGGGGACAGUGGGGAUAAGAUAGAAACAAGGCUGUUCUUUGCUCCUUGAGAAGCUGGGUAACAAGCUGGCUUGGCUUCUGGUGGAGUCUGGCCCAGUGAUAGCUCUUGCCUCCUGAUGGGACAAAAAAGGGGAGACAGGCAUCUCAGAGAAUGAGGUGGAGAGAGACACAACUGGGCCAGGACCCAGAAAAGAGAGUUACCUUUUUCGUCUCAGACCUGGGCAUCCCAGAUGGAACCGUGCUGAGCUUCUGGUUAGUCUAGCUUCCUCCAGGUGUGCAACACAGGGGUCCUGCUAGGGAGCCUUCCCAGUUGAGAUUAAGGAGGUUGCUUUCAAAAUGGCCAGCUGCCCAAGAUUGCACCUCUGUCACUGUUGAGGACAGUGGGGGUAAACAUGCCUGAUGUUCUGCCCUGGAAGGGCUCCAGAGCCUUUGGAUUGAAGCCACAAAGGAGGCCUGGCAUUUGGCUACCAUUCCUUCAUCUGGUUCACUAUCAAGGAUCCCUCAUCUCACCCAUUCUGCUCCCCCGUUCUAAUGUGGGCUUCCAUAAGCCUCUGUCCCAUCUUCCAAAAUGCAGUCUGGAGAGCGAGGCACCAAGGCUGCAGGCCAUUUGCAGGGCACAGCCCUGGAGGCUAAAGUGGAGGUGCAGUGGCUUUCCUAACACUGGUCUGCAUGUUGAACUCAGAAAUACACGGUACCCUUUUCAGCAAGAAUCAAAGCAAGGUUGAAACAGGCCAGCAACGUAUGGGACACUUUCUUCUCUUCCCUUUCGUGAAAUUUGCUUCUUGUAUAGAUCUGUUUUCACCAGGAAAUGAAUCAAAGCCGCAUACUCUGCCUUCCAUCCUUCUCUUCUCUUCUCUCUUCAGGUCUUUCAGACCAGGGAAAGUGGCUGCCUUUGGGAUAGUCACAACAAGGUGCCCUGGACUGAAAAUUGAGAGUGAUGAGUUACACUCUGCCCUGGCUUGGGGCAAGGCCCUUUCCUGCCAUGAGUUUCAGUGUCCCCACCUACCAAGUGGGGAGUUGGUGUCAGACAAUGUUUCUUAGUGGGUGGCAUUCCAGGAGUCCACACACAAAGGCUAAGUCCCUGCAAAACAGUGCAGAUAGAUGCUUUCUGUAGGUCUUGCUGACUCUCAUACUCUCUGUCUUUAACUCGCUUGGCAAUUCUUGAGCAAACCAUUGGGCCUCUUCAUCUACAGAGAAUGAUGACCUGACUAGGUGAUCUCUCAUUUCUCCUCAAGUUACAAAAGCGUUAGGGUGGUAAGGAGAGGAGGUGGCCCCAGGAAAACCAGAUGGGUCAGAAGAAGACAGAAGGUGGAGCCUUCAGUGACAGGAGAGCAGAGAAUGAUGUCCCCCUCCCAUAAAUGUAGGGAAGGAAGGAUACCAGAAAGGUUACCAUGAAAGAGAGGAGUAAUAGGAAAGUACAGGUCAUUUGUAGUUGAAAUACAUACUUGAGUGUCUGUGUGGACCAAAUCUGGGGUGGGAAGGCAGGCUUCAAAUCCUGAACCUCGGAAGGGUCGGCAUUCCUGACAAGAGCUCAGAGAGCCAACACCAGACAAACUCUAAGUCCCCUGAAGAGAGUGUGCUGAGCUAGGUACUUGCAGCCUUGAACCCACCCUAAUCCCCUCUGCCUGGAGCACGUCCAGAAGGAGCGUGGUUUGCUGCAGAAAAGACAAGUCAGUUAGACCAAAAUUCCAAAGCAACUUUUUAAGCCUAUAAAUGAUGAUGAUUUUAUAUAAACUUGAGUUGUUCCUUCAACAUAGCACCAUAUUUUCUACUUAUGUGAUUCUGGUUUUCUCUAAAGGAAAUCUUUUUUUGGAAUCCACACCAUACAUACGGAAGAGUAUAUAAAACAUAUAAUAAUAAAACCAACAGUCAUGUACCCACCAACCAGGUUCAGAAAUAGAACAUUCAGAAUGUUUUAGAAGCCCCUUGUGUGCCCCUCCCUCUUCCCAGAGAUAACAACUAUCCUGGCUUCCAAGAGCCAACCCUAGAAAUAGACCCUAGGCUCUGGCAAGCUUUGUGCUCAUCCUAGUGAGAUCAUGCACGUCACCAAUCUCUUUAGGUAGUAUUCUGUGCGGAUUUCCACAGAUGGCUCAUCUGUUUUGUGUUGAUCCUUAUUAGUUUCAAUUUUGUCUUUUUAAAUAUAUUUUAUGACUUUCUGAUUAUAAGAGUAAUAUGUGCUCUUUGUAGUAAACUUGGAAAAUGCAGAAAAGUGGAGAGAAAACACAAACCUCAUGGCAUAAUACAAUAUAUAAACAUUUAAUAUAUAAAUAAUCCAGAAACAACUACUGUGUGAACACAUUGGAGUGCAGUAUUUCAGUCAUUUUUUUUUCUAUGUAGAAAUAUAUGUUUCACAUUACUGGUAUCAAGUUGUGUAUAUACCUUUUCCCUUUAUUGUGGAAUAUAACAUUGAUGCAGAAAAGUGUGCAAGGCCUAUAUGUACAGUUUAAUAAGGAAGUAAAAAAUGGGCCGGGCACGGUGGCUCAAGCCUGUAAUCCCAGCACUUUGGGAGGCCAAGGAGGGCGGAUCACGAGAUCAGAAGUUCGAGACCAGCCUGGCCAAGAUGGUGAAACCCAGUCUCUACUAAAAAUACAAAAAUUAGCUGGUCGUGGUGGUGCCUGCCUGUAAUCCCAGCUACUGGGGAGGCUGAGGCAGGAGAACAGCUUGAACCCAGGAGGCGGAGGUUGCAGUGAGCCGAGAUCAUACCACUGCACUCCAGCCUGGGAGACAGAGCAAGACUCCGUCUCAAAAACAAACAAACAAAAAGAAGUAAAAAAUUAAAACCUGCUGUCAACACUGAUCAGGUCAAGAAAUAGAAUAUUGACAACCCCCAAGUAGAUCCUCAUGUGACCUUCCUGAUCCAAGAUAAUUAUUCUGCUUUUCUACAUAGCUUCAUCACUUAUUAAUAGACUUAAACUUGUAAUUGCUUCAUUUUCAAAACCUUAGUGGCGGGGCCGGGUACGGUGGCUUACACCUGUAAUCCCAGCACUUUGGGAGGCUGAGGCAGGCAGAUCGCUUGAGCCCAGAGUUUGAGACCAACCUGGGCAACAUGGGGAAACCCUGUCUCUACUAAAAACGCAAAAAUUAGCUGGGAGUGGUGGUACAAGCCUGUAGUCCCAGCUACCUGGGAAGCUGAGGUGGCAGGAUCACCUGAGCCCGCCAGGGAGGUGGAGGUUUCAGUGAGCCGUGAUUGCACUACUGCACUCCAGCCUGGGUGACCAGAGUGAUACCCUGCCUCAAUACAAAACAAACAAACAAACAAACAAACAAAAACCUUGGCCGGGUGUGGUGGCUCACACCUGUAAUCCCAGCACUUUGGGAGACCAAGGUAGGCAGAUCACCUGAGGUCAGGAGUUCAAGACCAGCCUGGCCAACAUGGCGAAAUCCUGUCUCUACUAAAAAUACAAAAAUUAGCCAGGCAUGGUGGCAUGUGCCUGUAAUCCUAGCUACUCAGGAGGCUGAGGCAGGAGAAUCCCUUCAACCUAGGAGGUGAAGGUUGUGGUGAGCUGAGAUUGUGCCACUACACUCCAGCCUGGGCGACAGAGUGAGAUUCCGUCUCAAAACAAACAAACAAACAAACAAACAAACAACAGCAACAGCAAAAAACCUUAGUGGAAGACACAAUCUAAGCAUUUAAGGGAAGAGUCCCAGGCCAUUAGUAGAUGAAGGCUUUCAGAAGAAGAGAGGUUGACCUGUCCUGGUCAUUAUCUGCCUUCAGCUUCCCGGGAAUGUGUAGAGCCCACCACCAUCAGGACACUAGCAGAGUUGUGGACAUGGUAUUGGAUAUGCAGAAGAAAUAUGGCCAAAGAGAUUGGACUGCCCUCUGUGUUUUGCUUUCAAGCUCACCACAGCCUGCCUCCAGUACCUCCAGUUCCCAGGUGUAGGGCAACACAGAACAUCCCUGUGGGGUGAAGUGAGUGGCCUCCACUGAUCCGGCCAGCAGGACCAGGAAAGCAGAGCAGGAAAUUCACCAGACAAAGGGUCAAGCCAGACCUCUUCCAGGGUGGGGGACAGGCAGAUGCCUGGGGACACAGAGUCAGAGAGGGGAUUCAGAGAUCUGCCUGCUCCUUAACCAGCUUCCAGCCCAACCCCAUUACGCUGACCAUGUCCCCCCAUUCCACUUUACCUCCCAGAUCUGGGAACAUCUAGAGCUCCUCCUCCUGAGGCUUGGGAAGAUUCUGCCGUAUAGACCACGAUCCUUUCCAGUUUUCUCCUCUGCUGUCUUGUGAUUCAGCUUCCUUGGUGCUGUGUAGUCAGUUAAUCCUGGUCUAUCUGCAUUUUAGUUUCAUAAAUUAUGAUGCUGUUAUCUCCUCUCCUAUUCUCUCUAUCCUGGUGGGAUUUUGUCUUUAAAAACAAAACAAAACACAAACUCUUACUGUAGUUUUAAUGAGACUCUGGGAGGAAGAGAAUUUAGAUGCUUGCAUUAAACUGCUGUCUAAUUCCAGAAGUCUCCAAAGGAAAUCCUGCCACUCCCUUCUUCGGUUGCCCGAACAUGACGGUUAGUUGGAUGGCUCCCUUGGAAGCCCAAGGUGCCAUCAGGGAGAUACUGAGAGAAUUUGAGGCUGGGAAGGCAGGUGGGGGUUGGGGUGAGGGUUAUGUUUUGAAUAUUGCUUCAUAUUGAAGCAUUUGUAGUAUUUGCGGUUAAGAGCCUGGAUUUUCAUGUAAGUCAACUCCAGGUUCAGCUUCCAGCUCUGCCAGUUACAUAUGGUGUGACUUUGAGCAAGUUACUUUGCUUUUCUGAACCUUAUUUUCCCCACCUGUUAAGUGGGGAUCAUAAUGGUACCCAUCUUUCAGGCUUGCCAUGGGUAUUGAAUGUUUCACUUAGUAAACAUUUACAGCGUUUCACUCAGUGCCUGGCACAUUGUAUGUGUUCAAUACAUGGUAGCUAUUGUCAUCAUCAUUAUCGUCAUCAUCAUGAGAAAAUAGAAACCUUCCAGAAACUGUCAGGGCAACGAUUGCCACAGGCCGUUGUUGGCUACUAAAACUCUAGACUCUGGAGAGCCUUGAUGCCCUUCCUCUUUUACCCCGUCCCUGAUGCUCCCCCAAGUAGCAUGAUGCCCAGUGGCCCACCAACCUCAUUACCCAGCAUUGCUGACAACAGGCACAGCCUUGGUCACUGUGAAAAUGCCCCACAGCCUCAACCUCAGAAGUGGGAAGUAUACUGCAGAUUCACUCUAUGCCAAGCACUAUGGGAUAUCCACAGGAAUGUGCCACAGUGAGGUAACUGCCCAGGGGAUAGUAAUUCCUUCAUUUCUUUAUACAUUAUGGAUUCUACCAUUUUGUUAUUGGGUUAUUUUUCCCCUUGUCAAAGUAGCAAUUUAUCAGUUGAACUUAAUUCUCUAAUUAAAUUUCAAAUCUGAGAAUUUACAUGAUGAAGUGAAUUUGAUUUUGGACCCAGUCAAUUUCAGUCAGCCCUAAACAUAUUUUGAAAUGUUAAAGUUAAAUUAUAUACGUUUGUGGAGGAAAAACUCCAGGAAAGCCUAAAUUUUUCCAGGUCUUGCUUAGGGGAUACCCUGCUCCAAGAAAACUUUUACAAAAUGCAAAUUUACAGAACAGAUCCACCAAAUGGGUGGGAUUGGUGCUACCCUAGAGUUUUCUGUAGAAUUUCUUUUUUAAAAAAUUUUUUUCUUUUUUUUCUUUUUUUUUUUUUUUUUUGAGAUGGAGUCUCACUUUGUCGCCCAGGCUGGAGUGCAGUGGCGUGAUCUUGGCUCAUUGCAAACUCCACCUCCUGGGUUCAAGUGAUUCUCGUGCCUCAGCCUCCCAAGUAGCUGGGACUACAGGCACGCACCACCAUGCCCGGCUAACUUUUUGUAUUUUUAGUAGAGACGGGGUUUCACCAUGUCAGCCAGGCUGGUCUUGAACUCCUGUCUUCAGGUGAUCCACCCACCUCAGCCUCCCAAAAUGCUGGGAUUACAGGUAUGAGCCACUGCGCCCAGCCAGAAUUUCUUUAGUGAGAUUUAUCUACCCCCUCCACCCACCAUACCACACGUAUCAUAACAGAGGUCCCCCAACUUGGAGUUCUCCUCAUUUCAAGGUACAGUUAUUAUAAAAAGAAGAGGACACCUGGGUCUCACAGCAGCCAGCUCUGCGGCCAUUGCACAGUAGAACCUCAGUGGCCUUACAAAAUAUUCUUGCUGUUAGUCUACUUACUGCAAUAACAAAAGUUUCACUUGGGCACUUUGAUCACACAAAGCUUGGCACAGGCUUUGAAAUCAGACAAUACCUAGGUUCUAGUCUAGGCUCUGGCACUUAACUAAUGGGUGAUCAUGGGCAGGUCGCUUAACCUUUUUGUGCCUCAGUUUCCUUAUCUUUACAAUGGGAUUAUAAUAGUACCUCCUUCAUAGGAUUGUCCUGAGGAUUCAUUAAUUGAAAUGACCCUAGGAAAGGGUCAGUGCCUUACACUGAGUAAGUUCUCAGUAAAUAUUUAUAAUAUCAUCAUCAUCAUCAAUUAUUAUUAUUAUUAAUUUACUUUACCAAAACACAGGUCCUGCUGAGCCAUGUUGGCCAGACCACACCUAGAACAGCAUGUCCAGUUUUAGGCUAAUCUGUGUAAAAUUCAGUGCCUGGACCAUUGAAAGGGGCUCGAUAUAUGGUGGAGGUAUUAUUGUUAAUUAAUGCUGCUGCUAACCUUCCUGGAGUGCAUACAACAUGCCAGGCACUGCAUACGUGCUAAUUCUAUUAGUCCUCUUAACCUUUACCACUCUAUGAAUAAUAUACAAUUAUUAAUCCCUUUUGCAGAUGAGAAAAUUAAGGCACAGAAACGUUAAGUAACUCUCCCACAAUUACAAAGCAUGGAAGUGGCAAACCCAUAAUUCAAGUCUAGACUCUCUUUUUCCAGAGCCUGGACUCUUAGCCACCAUGCCAAAGAGCUGUGCUGUCCACUGCUGUAGCCAGCAGUCACAUGUAACUAUUUAAAUUAAUAAAAAAUUUAAAAAACAAGAAUUCAGUUCUUCAUUUUUACUAGCCACAUUUCAAGUGCUACACACUUCAUGUGGCCAGUGGCUACCAUAUUGAACAGCACAGCUCUAGAGCAUUCUAUUCUUUCUGGGAUGAUUCAGCAUCAACUCAGGAAGUUCUGUUGGAUGGUGAUGCUUACAGAGAUUCUGUUUCUUACAAAAUCUCAGACUUCAGUUGUACAGCUUUCUUGCAUUGUUAUUAAUAGAUGCAUACUUAUGAUAUAUUGAAAUCCCAUUUGCACUUGGCCAAGUAGGGUAAUGGCAAGAAAAAAGCCAAGAAGCGUGACUUACAUUACGUUUUCCUGUUUCCCCGGUGCAUUAUUUCAAAUUCACAAAGUUGUCUCCUAUCACCUCUCUUUGAUAUGGGGCAGGAGGCAUUCAUCAACUUGCCCAAAAAUCCAGGUUCUUCCACAUGUCUGCCUUCACCUCUUUGGGCUAUCUGGAUAAUAUUUAGUGCUCUAGCAUAGUAACCUCACAAGUGACUUGAACAACGGAGGUUGGCUUCUGAAGUCAGUGAGCCACAGAGGACCUUGGACUCUGAGCAUCUUUGACACACUCAUCAAGUCUCCAGUUCGCUUUCUUGGGUUUUCUCUGCUCAUUUCUGUUACAUGGUUAGUAAAGGCCAGGGAAAGAAAAGGUGUUGAGGAUCCAUUACCUUAAUUCCAGAAUGAUUAAGUCAAGAAACCUACAAGCUCUCAGAAGCCAGUGGAAUUAGAGUGCACUACUAUAACCUUGCAAAUGUGCAUAUGCCUCCUUCCGAAUCACCAGAGUGGAGAUUGGGCCAAUAUCCAAUCUCGUCAAUAAUUUAUAAA